CGCGUGGCGGCUGCUACACAUGCAAGUCGAGCGGAACGAGUUAUCUGAACCUUCGGGGAACGAUAACGGCGUCGAGCGGCGGACGGGUGAGUAAUGCCUAGGAAAUUGCCCUGAUGUGGGGGAUAACCAUUGGAAACGAUGGCUAAUACCGCAUGAUGCCUACGGGCCAAAGAGGGGGACCUUCGGGCCUCUCGCGUCAGGAUAUGCCUAGGUGGGAUUAGCUAGUUGGUGAGGUAAGGGCUCACCAAGGCGACGAUCCCUAGCUGGUCUGAGAGGAUGAUCAGCCACACUGGAACUGAGACACGGUCCAGACUCCUACGGGAGGCAGCAGUGGGGAAUAUUGCACAAUGGGCGCAAGCCUGAUGCAGCCAUGCCGCGUGUGUGAAGAAGGCCUUCGGGUUGUAAAGCACUUUCAGUCGUGAGGAAGGUGGCGUAGUUAAUAGCGGCAUUAUUUGACGUUAGCGACAGAAGAAGCACCGGCUAACUCCGUGCCAGCAGCCGCGGUAAUACGGAGGGUGCGAGCGUUAAUCGGAAUUACUGGGCGUAAAGCGCAUGCAGGUGGUUUGUUAAGUCAGAUGUGAAAGCCCGGAGCUCAACCUCGGAAUAGCAUUUGAAACUGGCAGACUAGAGUACUGUAGAGGGGGGUAGAAUUUCAUGUGUAGCGGUGAAAUGCGUAGAGAUCUGAAGGAAUACCGGUGGCGAAGGCGGCCCCCUGGACAGAUACUGACACUCAGAUGCGAAAGCGUGAGGAGCAAACAGGAUUAGAUACCCUGGUAGUCCACGCCGUAAACGAUGUCACGUUGGGACGUAGUGGCCUUGAGCCGUGGCUUUCGGAGCUAACGCGUUAAGUAGACCGCCUGGGGAGUACGGGUCGCAAGAUUAAAACUCAAAUGAAUUGACCGGGGGCCCGCACAAGCGAUGGAGCAUGUGAUUUAAUUUCGAUGCAACGCGAAGAUCCUUACCUACUCUUGACAUCCAGAGAACUUUCCAGAGAUGAUUGGUGCUAUCGGGCACUACUGAGACAGUGCUGCAUUGCUGUCAUCAGCUCGUGUUUGCUGACUGUUGGAUUAGUCCCGCAAGCGAGCGCACCUUAUCUUGUUUGCCAUCAGUCAUUGUCGGAACCUCGAGUAAACUGGCAGUGAAUAACGGAGGAGUGGCACGACGUCAGUUCAUCUGGUCUACAGUUAGGCUACACUGCAUCAUGCCUACGAGGGACGGCCCAAACUUUGCA
rnacentral:rRNA from 1 species